rnacentral:lncRNA from 1 species
AUAAAGCUAAAUUCAGAUAAAAGAAAAUCCUUAUUUGAUACUUAAACAAAACCACUGAGCUCUGAAACACUGAAAUGUUAUUUAAUGACCACUAUGGCAGUGUGACAGCCAGAUGCAAGAUGCUCUGUGCUGUCCAAACUCAGCUUCCCAGGGGUGAUGCUCUGCGUGACUCAAACCCUCCUGGCAAUGAGUCUGACAGCACAGGGGAGCUCCACUACGUUUGAGCCCUUGACCCAACACAGAGCCAGGGAGAACAUCCAUCUCCUCUGGCUCUGGGUGGGACACAGGGGCUGAGCUGCCCUUCACAGCAGCCUGAUGUUACAUUAUCCCAAACUGUGUGCAUCACUCUCUGCAGGCUCACAGAGUUGCUCUUGUGCUCUGCCAGUGGGCAUCAUGUAGGCAGCAAGUGGGAAAAGGCCUUGGACUGUGCUUCUGCUGUAUGGCUAGUUAGCCCAUAAAAAGAUUUAGGGUUACUAAAGAAUAAACACCCAUUUUCUCAGGGAAACCUUUAUAGAAUAUAUGGAUGUACCAAGUUUUUCAUUUGGUGAGCUCUAAUUACUGAAAACCCCCCAGAUGCAAGUAGCCAGACUGUACUCACACUCUCAGAGGGACACUUGAAAAGCUCUCCUCUAAUCACCAUGCUGUGUCAGAAAAGCAGAAUUAGAAAAAUCCAAGCAAAUCCCUUCUGGAUUCUCAAAGGAAGCUCUUAUCCAAUCCUACCAUCUACUGAGAAAUUCUGCUUUUGAAGGAAAAGGACCUGUCUCCCAUCAUGAAAAUUUCCUCCAGCAUCUGAACUGAGCCAAGUGCAAAUGAAACCUUGAACCUAUGCCCAGAAUGAUCAUCAGGAACUGAAACUUUUGAAUUAGGACAAUAUAAAAUAUGCCAAUAAAAAUUUCUUUACUGCUAAUCCUGUUCUGAUGUAUAGGUCUUGCCUCACGUCCCUCCUAGCCCAGCUAAAAGCUGGGCUGUGCAAAAACCCCAGAGAGACCCCACUCACAGUAUUUCUGACACAAGCCAGGGAGCAGCUGAAAUUACAAAAGACAGUUCUCAGAUCAAAGAAACCCACCUCAAUUUGCAUGAACUUUUAGAUAAACACAAAAAGAAAAAAAGUUAAAAGUUCACUGAAGGACUGACUCUUUCCUGCAAUCACCCUCACACAAAUCCUCUAUUUGCCAUUUGUCUUGAUGGGUGGUAAGGUCUUAGGGCAGGCACCAGGACUUCCUCUGCAUCAGUAAAAUACCAGCACCAUCAACUUCUGGUUCUAAAUGGAGUCUGUGAGUCCUGCCACAGUAUAAAUAAAAAUCAUAACCUAUCCAAGCCCUAACACGACUUCAUGAGGACCCUCCCCUCCUCUAUCCACGCUGCUCUAA